rnacentral:rRNA from 1 species
GAGGAAUGUAUAGCAAUAGCUACUUGCAUCAUCNUUUUCUCAUUUUAUUCUUCUCGUUUUCUUCUUCUUAAGAAGAAAAUGAGAAGAAUAAAAAGAGAAAAGUAAAGAUGAUGCAAGAUCGACUAUGUCGAAUAAAAUUCUAGGUAGAAUUAUGAUAAUGACAUUGUCUGCCUAUGUGUCUUGACCAAAUUACGUGCCAGCAGUCGCGGUAAUACGUAGAAGACUAGUGUUAUUCAUGUUUAAUCGGUUUAAAGGGUACCUAGACGGUAAAUCAAGCUUUCAAAGAAAAAGAAGACAAAAUUGAUAGUAUAGUGAUAAUUAAAGGACUAAUUUACUAGAGUUACUUAUGAGGGGGUAUUAAAGUACUGCUGGUGUAGAGAUGAAAUUCUGUCAUACCUCUUUUCAAAAGAAAAAUGAUGGCACAGGUAUAGGCGAAGGCAUCCCCUUAUGUGAUAACUGACGUUGAGGGACGAAGGCUUUGUGUAGCGAACAGGAUUAGAUACCCCAGUAGUCUAAGCAGAAAAUGAUGAAUGUCAUAGAUUAGAUAUAUAAGUUUAUUCUAUAAAUGAAAGUGUAAGCAUUCCACCUCAUGAGUAAUUUGGCAACAUUGGAACUGAAAUCAUUAGACCGUUUCUGAAACCAG